GAGGGAUGGAGGUGGGAGCCGGCGUGGGGCGAGGGAUGGAGGUGGGAGCCGGCAUGGGACGAGGGAUGGAGCUGGGAACUGGUUUGGGGCGAGGGAUGGAGCUGCUGUGGGGUGAAGAGGGCUGCAGGGAGCCGGCACGGGGCGAAGGAUGAAGUUGGUGUAGGGCGAGCAAUGGAGAAGGAUGCGCUGGGAUAAGCUGAUGUGAACAGCGGCUGCUCCGCUUGCAGGUGUCAGAGGCCCCGAGUGGCCCCUCGGCCCCGCGUGGCCCCAUGAACGUGGUGCAGGACAGCUAUGAGUCAGUGAUCUCCCUGGAUGUUGACAUGGAGCCACCCCGGGGGCAGCUGGAGCCGCCGCAGGGUCUGGCAACGACCCCCUGGAGCCAGGGGCUGUUGCUGCCCGAUUUCCGGAAGCAGCUCAUGGCCAUCAUGCAAACCAUCGGCCAGAGCCAGGUGGAGAAAAUGCUACGGGAGCUGGUGAAGGAGCAGAAGCAAGAAGGGAGAGUCCAGUGGUGCCGCAGGCCCGUGAAGAGCCUUGGCAGCGGAGCAGGCAGCAGGACUCAGAAAGUGAAGGAAGAAGUGCCUCCUCAGGACGGCGGCGUGGAGCCGACGGGUGCCUGGGGCAUGUUUUCAGGGAUGCCCAGAGGCUCAGAGCAGCACCCAGCCCUGGCAGCCCAGCAGGGCCCUGAAGAGGCACCCGAGAGCCCUCCGGCAGCCCCCCAUGGCAAACCGGCUCGGGCGGGAGCCCUCGGGAAGGCCAGAGACGUCCCAACCCCUCCAAAACGCUGGCCAGAGGAGCAGGGCCGAGGCUGGGGGGCCGGCUGCAAGGAGGGCUGCGGUGGGCCGUGCGCCGCCCCCC
rnacentral:lncRNA from 1 species